rnacentral:rRNA from 1 species
UACGGAGGAUGCAAGCGUUAUCCGGAAUUAUUGGGCGUAAAGAGUCCGUAGGUGGCGAUUCAAGUCUGCUGUCAAAGCGUGGAGCUUAACUCCAUUAAGGCAGUGGAAACUGAAUGGCUAGAGUCCGGUAGGGGUAGCGGGAAUUCCCAGUGUAGCGGUGAAAUGCGUAGAGAUUGGGAAGAACAUCGGUGGCGAAAGCGCACUACGGGGCCGGAACUGACCCUGAGGGACGAAAGCUAGGGGAGCGAAAGGG